GAUGAAGAACGUAGCGAAAUGCGAUAAGUAAUGCGAAUUCCAGAAUUUCCGUGAGUCAUCGAAUCUUUGAACGCACAUUGCGCCCACUGGUAUUCCGGUGGGCAUGCCUGUUCGAGCGUCAUUAUCCUCCCUCAAACCCCGGGUUUGGUGUUGGACCCAAGUUGUGUGAACAACUGGUCUCAAAGACAAUGACGGCGUCCGUGGGACCCUCGGUGCAACGAGCUUUUAGGAGCACGCAUCGAGUUGCAAGGCCCUUCCGGGCCGGUCUCCUUUACCAUUUUACAAGGUUGACCUCGGAUCAGGUAGGAAUACCCGCUGAACUUAAGCAUAUCAAUAAGCGGAGGA
rnacentral:misc_RNA from 1 species